rnacentral:rRNA from 1 species
GACGAACGCUGGCGGCGUGCUUAACACAUGCAAGUCGAACGGAAAGGCCCUGCUUUUGUGGGGUGCUCGAGUGGCGAACGGGUGAGUAACACGUGAGUAACCUGCCCUUGACUUUGGGAUAACUUCAGGAAACUGGGGCUAAUACCGGAUAGGAGCUCCUGCUGCAUGGUGGGGGUUGGAAAGUUUCGGCGGUUGGGGAUGGACUCGCGGCUUAUCAGCUUGUUGGUGGGGUAGUGGCUUACCAAGGCUUUGACGGGUAGCCGGCCUGGGAGGGUGACCGGCCACAUUGGUACUGAGAUACGGCCCAGACUCCUACGGGAGGCAGCAGUGGGGAAUAUUGCACAAUGGGCGGAAGCCUGAUGCAGCAACGCCGCGUGCGGGAUGACGGCCUUCGGGUUGUAAACCGCUUUCGCCUGUGACGAAGCGUGAGUGACGGUAAUGGGUAAAGAAGCACCGGCUAACUACGUG